GAUGAAGAACGUAGCGAAAUGCGAUAAGUAAUGUGAAUUGCAGAAUUCAGUGAAUCAUCGAAUCUUUGAACGCACAUUGCGCCCGCCAGUAUUCUGGCGGGCAUGCCUGUUCGAGCGUCAUUACAACCCUCAGGCCCCCGGGCCUGGCGUUGGGGAUCGGCGGAGCCCCCCGUGGGCACACGCCGUCCCCCAAAUGCAGUGGCGGUCCCGCCGCAGCUUCCAUCGCGUAGUAGCUAACACCUCGCGACUGGAGAGCGGCGCGGCCACGCCGUAAAACACCCAACUUCUGAAUGUUGACCUCGAAUCAGGUAGGAAUACCCGCUGAACUUAAGCAUAUCAAUAAGCGGAGG
rnacentral:misc_RNA from 1 species